GGUUCCCCGGAGCCCCCGUCUCGAGCCUGGCGCGCGCUGUGAUUCUCGCCCUGGCGGCUAGGGCCUGUGCCGCGAGGCAGGGCAGGGUCAUGCGUCCCAGAGGAACCAGGACUAACCCAAGGCCCGGGACGUUUCGGGCAUUAGGGUGGGCGACCCGCACGGGCGUGUGGAACGCCCUGCGUCGCUAGGGAGGACGGAGCGGCGUCCCUGGUUACGGGGUCAGGCAAAGGGCAAAGGGCAGCGUCCGGGUGGAGCGAGAGCGAGGAUUAGUAAUGGCGGCGUCUGGGGAGCCCGGGAGGCCCUGGCAGGAGAAGGAGGCAGCAGCGGUAGUGGUGGUGGGUUCCUGCAUGACCGACCUGGUCAGUCUUACUUCUCGCUUGCCAAAAACUGGAGAAACCAUUCAUGGACAUAAGUUUUUUAUUGGCUUUGGAGGAAAAGGUGCCAACCAGUGUGUCCAAGCUGCCCGGCUUGGAGCAAAGGCGGCCAUAGUCUGCAAGGUUGGCAAUGAUUCUUUUGGCAAUGAUUACAUAGAAAACUUAAGACAAAAUCAUAUUUCUACAGAGUUUACAUAUCAGACCAGAGAUGCAGCUACAGGAACAGCCUCCAUAAUCGUCAAUAAUGAAGGCCAGAAUAUCAUCGUCAUAGUGGCUGGAGCAAAUCUGCUUUUGAAUACUGAAGACUUGAAGGAGGCAGCCAGUGUCAUUCGCGGAGCCAAAGUGAUGAUCUGCCAGCUAGAAAUAAGCCCAGCAGCUUCUCUGGAAGCUCUGACAAUGGCCCGCAGGAGUGGAGUGAAAACCUUGUUCAACCCAGCUCCGGCCAUGGCUGACCUGGACCCCCAGUUCUAUACCCUCUCCAGUGUUUUCUGCUGCAACGAGAGCGAGGCUGAGAUUUUAACAGGACACACUGUGAGCGACCCAACCACGGCUGGGAAGGCUGCGUUGGUUCUCCUAGAACGGGGCUGCCACAUUGUGGUCAUCACCUUAGGGGCUUCAGGAUGUGUGACACUGUCCCAGGCCGAGCCUGUUCCAAAGCACAUUCCCACAGAAGCUGUCAAGGCUGUGGACACCACGUGUUUUCUGUAACCUGAGAGGGCCAGUUAAAGCAUCCUUUCUCUUCAACGCAGUGAAGCCCCUUCCAGGAGUCUAUGUCACAGGGGAUUACUUUGUUGUUUGGGGCAUAGCCAGGAGCAGCUGAGAGGCAGCCACAUGGGCAGCACACAGAGCAUCGCCAUCAUCCCAGAGGAGACCUUGCCAGCUGGCCUCACAAACAACCUCUCAAGCACGGUAAAGUCUCUGUGUAAGCAGACUUAAGUCAACCUAUAACACCUUUAGAAAUGAUGUCCUGUGCCACAGGAGAAAGGAGGUGCCUUCCUAUUGGAGGCCUCUGGGUCCAGUCUAGACAUUUCAGUGUGCAUUUUGAUAGGAUUUUUCUUUCUUAAUCUUCUUGAAGUAGUAGUUUUCCUCAAAAAUACAAUUUUAUAUAGGUCCCUUUGGAAAUAUCUGUCCAUCAUUCAAAUGCAUUGCACAUCAUCAAAGAAAUUGCUCACAUUCAGAUUCCCUUCUGAAUGAAUGCUUGUUAGCCAGUCCUCUUCAACCACAUUCCUCCCAGCAGGGCAUUGAGUAAGCCCAGCUCUGUUUUUGUAACAGUUCUUGGAUUUGGUUACUGGGUAGCCAGAAAGAGUUGUAAAGCAGACCAUGCAAGGCUAUGGAGAUGUCUCAGUCAAUAAAGUGUUUGUUGUAUAAGCUGCAACCAAAAUAUCCAAGUUUGGAAUGCAAGUAUCCCAUAAAAAGCUGAGCAUGAUGGAAUACACCUAGAACCCUAGUCUUUUAUCGUCCAUGCCUCCUCUCCUUUUUAAAAUGCUCCUAAAGCGGGGCGUGGUGGCGCACACCUGUGGAUCUCUGUCAAUUCAAGCCCAGCCUAGUAUACAUGUCAAGUUCCAAGACAGCCUGAGCUACAUAGUGAGACCCUGUCUCAAAAAGGGAAAGAAACAAAAGGUCAUGAGUGAAAAGACUCUUGAGAGUAGAAGACCAUGAGACCGUGAGGAGUGCCGAAUGGUUCCACAUGAUCAUGCCUCUCUCCAGUGCAGUCAUACUUGGAGGCAGAGCGUGUUGGAGACAAUUGAGGUCCCAGCCUGAGCUCCUGCUCCAGGAGUCUGAGUGUCCUCAGAAGCAGCCGCCUCACCAGAGAGCUCCCUCAGCAAGCUCCCAAAGAAAGAGCCCUGUGAGCACCAGCAGGUAGGAGCUCCCGGCAGGCCAAGGGGAGGGUCUCAGAAUAAAGACAUCUGCUGGGACAUCUUGAUCUCAGAGCCCCUAGCCUUGAGGACUAUGAGAAAGAAGUUUCUAUUGUUUAAGCCACUAUCUGUGGUUUGUGUUGGUAGACACACAAUACACAUUACACACAAUACACACAAUACACAUUAAUACACACAAGCAAGUGAAAAUGCUCAGAAGUGACAUUAAAAAAAAAAAAAAAAAACUCAGAAAAAACAGGUGUCCAUGAGGAGACAAUGAUGAGCGGCAAAGGAGGAACCAGAUCACCUUUCCCUGAGAGGUGAGGGCGUCUGCAGGAGCACAGCUGUUGACAGUGCAGUGGCCGGGGGGGCAGAUGAUGGCUCGAAUCCUGCUGGCAAGGCUGCUUUAGUAAAUAAAUUCUACCUUUUGAUUUGGGGACAGUCCACCUCUCUGUGCCUUGACAUUUCAGCACUGACCCUUGAGUCACACGUCAGAAUACAGACUUCUACAACCCCUCUUGUCUCCAGAUCUUGAAAAGGCCUUGCAUACUUGUACAGUAUACUGCGGCCUUGAUGAAAGGCAAUAGCCCACCAUCGACCCUGAGUACCAUCCAGCUGAGUCCCAAGGAGCAAGCCCUCAGAAAGAGAGCACUGGUUAAUCAGUCCAUCACUCCCCGUCUGUCUGACAGUGUAUGCAGAUCAGCACUUUCCAGAUAGCAAAACCUGGAGCUUGCAUUGUGCACUGGCCCGGAGAACCUUUGCCACAUAGCUGCUUCCUCUACAGGCAAGGGCUGGACUGUGUGAGAAGAGUGGUGGGAGUGGGCCAUUCCAGAUCAUACUGCUUCUGGCAGGGUUCACAUCCAUCCAUCCUUGUCCCUGAGUGACCAUUCCUGGAGGAGACAUGCAUUCUCUUACAGAUUAUAAUCAAAUUUUCUUUUCCGUAAACAUCUUUUUUGUUUGUUUGUUUUUUGAGGCAGGGUUUAUCUGUAUAGCCCUGGCUGUUCUGGAACUCACUCUGUAGACCAGGCUGGCCUCAAACUCAGAAAUCUGACUGCCUCUUCCUCCCAAGUGCUGGGAUUAAAGGCGUGCGCCACCACAUCCUGCCUACAGUAAACAUCUUUCGUUAGGAGCCUGAACUAAAUUGUUGAGGGUGCUCACCCUCUUUUUAAAAGUUUCCCAACUGCUUUUGUAGCUAAGAUGAGCUAAUCACUCCUACUGUCCUGCCUAGCAAUACCCCAAGCUCAGUACCUGGCUUGGAAGGUCCUUCGUGAACAGGGCCAACCUCAGCAUAUAUGUGGUGACAACUGAGGAGCCCGAGCUCUUGUGGAGAGUAACCAGCCUGAGAGCAAGAGUUACUCUGGUCAGCUGUUUCUAGGACUGCUCUCCAGAGCACAUCAUACUCCUCACUGUCUACAGUGAAAAUAUCCAGAGAAAGAUAAAAUCAGAGGUACGUUGCUCCUUAUACAUUAUUGGAGAAUGAAAUAAUUACCCAGUGUUCCAUUUUUAAAAUCCUCAUUUAACAAAGGCUACAACUAAAAAUAUCAGGUCGCCGAGAGUAAAAGGUAUCUCCAAAAUGCAGAAACCUACUGAAGUUCUUCAGUAGCUUCCUUAGGGAACGGACAAUAGCUCAGUGAUUCAAGAACACAUACUGUUACUCUCCCAGAGAAGCCAGCCCUAUAUAUGGUAGCUCACAUCUGCCUGAAAUAGCCCUAGGGAAUACAACACCCUCUACAUGCACAUACACACAUCAUACAUGUACACACAUCAUACACGUACUCAUAAUUACAUUUAAAAUAAACCUUUAAAAUGGUCCUCCUUAGAGUUGGGAGAUGCCUCAGUCCUCAGUGGUGCAGAGCACUGGCUGCUCUUCCAGAGGACCUGGGUUUGAUUACCAGCACUUACAUGGGGGCUCAUACGUGACAGUAACUCAAGGUCCAGAGGAGCCAGCACCUUCCUCUGGCCUCCACAGACAUCAAAUAAAUACAUAUGGUAGGCAAAACAUUACAACACAUAAAUGAUGUAUUUGUUAACUAGCCCCCUUUGUCCCAUGAAUGACAUCUAGAAAACUCUCUGAAGACUCUGCUGCCAGAGGCUGCCAGAAAAGAUGAGGAAGACAAGAGAUUCCCUGGCUGUGAGGAAAGGACAGGGACAGAGUAAUCUCUGAGGCAGCUGACAGA